rnacentral:rRNA from 1 species
GCAGUCCAAGAAUAUUAGUCAAUGCUCGCAAGAGUGAACGAGCUAACUGAAAGAAUAUAUAAUCUAAAGUUAGGAAUCUUAUAAUUUUUAUUAUAAGUUUAAAGACGAAUCUAACUAACAGUGUCGUCCAAAUUCUGGUGCCAGAAGACUCGGUAAUACCAGAGACGCGAACGUUAAUCAUCUUGAAUGGGCAUAAAGGGUUUGUAGGCGGCUUAUUUAUUAAUAGGCUAGAAUCUUAUAGAGGUUAAUAAAAUACUUAGAGGAGAGCUGAUAUCCUUAGAUCCUAAGUGGAAUCCUAAUUGCGAAGGCCAUUUUCCACUACAGAUUGACGCUGAUACACGAAGGUUAGGAUAGGAACUAGGAUUAGAGACCCUAUUACCCCUAACUGUAAACGAUGAAUGGAAGAUAUUUACAACUGUCAGUGUCGAAGUGAAUACGAUAACCAUUCCGCCUUGCCAGUAUACUUGCAAAAGUGAAAACAAAAAAAUUAGUCGGUCCUAAAGCAAACGAAGUGAAGCAUGUUAUUUAAUUC